GCUCCAGAACUUGGUCCUGAGCUCCCUGAAGAAUGGAGGGAAAUCAGAAAUCUGGGAAAACCAGCCAAGAAGAUACUCUGAAGAAAGAAAAUGGAAGCAUCCUUUGUUUCAAAAAGUGACUUCACAGUACUCCAAUGUGAAUGAACAUCUGAAGUUAAACUGUUAACUGCUCGUAUAAGCAGCCUGGGAAAAAAUGCAGCUUGGUUCCAAACAUGCCAGGACUUCUUGGCCCCUAGAAGGACAGCUGCAUAAUGAAUUCCCAAUCCCUCAAUUAAUCUCUGCUUCAGGCUCAGACUGGUUCAUGGUCAUAGAAUACUAGAAUCAUUACAAUUGGAAAAA